ACAGUUCAUUCAGCCUUUGCAAGGAAAAGCCCAGGACCAGGAGCCAAUCCCACAGAUGUCUCCUACACUCUAAGUGAUGACUGUCCACUUGAGGGAAGGAUUGAGUACCCAGACUUUGUCUGGCCAGGGCCCUUCGCAGGGCUGCUAAUGAGUCCAAGACUUUGGCAGAAUGAAGGACACACUGUUCCAAGCCAGAGUCCUUGGUCUAAAGUGAGUCUCCAAAGAGCUGCUGACUUCCGCUGACUCUUCCUGUCUCCUCAGCCCCUCAGUACUCUCCCGAAUUUGUACUAAAGAUGAAGAGAAAAUGCUGUCAUUAAGAGACCUCUCUUCUGGGGAUAUUGCCUCACAAUAUGCCCUGUCCGCUGAAGCACUGUCUUCAGCUUGUGCCUCUCCCCAAUCUCCUGACGAAGACGGUCUCAAAGGCCUCUCAGUGCAUCCUUGCAGCAGAGCCAAAGUGAGUUACUGCUGCCCUGAUAUUUUCCACACACACUCCUGAGGCACAGAGGCUCAUGAUCUCUAACACCUCUUUGCUGGUGUUCAUACAAGAUUAGCACAGCCGGUCCUUGCCUCUGUGUGUGUGUGUGUGUGUGUGUGUGUGUGUGUGUGUGUGUGUGUGUGUUGCCCUCCUCCCAAGUCUGAGGUCCUCAUGAUCCUGCCUUGGAUGAUGCAGGAAGUGCUCAAGACAGGCUAGAUAGGCAGCCUGCCUCCUGGUGCCUUAAACAAUGGAAGAACUGAUGACCGGUUCUCAUGACCUACAGCCAUGACCCUUCAGCAUAGUCCCUCAUCUGCUAAUGCCUGGUCAUGUGUGUUUACAUGUAUGGAUAGGGAAAGAGCCCUACAGGGAAGUACAAGGAAUAGGGGAACACUGAACUAUAGGGAGGUCUGAGAUGAGGCCAGCCAUAGAUCAGUCUUGUACAUAUUGGGAAAGUGGGGAAAUCACUGGGCCAGGAGUCAGAGUGCCUGGCUGCCCAGCUCAUCUCUCCCACUUGUCACCCAAGUAAUGGAUCUUAAGGAGAUGAGGGAAGUCAGGAUUUAUUGAGUACCUACUGUAUUCCUCAUACCAUAUUGAGCUAAGAGAAAGGCCUUGGGUACAUAUAAUCUCACCACCACCCUACAAUUUGCAGACUUCUGGUGGGGGGAAGUAAGCAAAUUCCAAUAAAGUCUGAUGAAUGACAUCAUGGGAACAUGUGUGGUCUAUUAGUAGGACAGAGAGAGCAGGAAGAACUCUGGAAGGAAAAUGUGGGGCGAGGAGUAUACAUCAGAGGCAAUGGCAGAGCUAGUUUUAUAGAAGAAGUAUCCAUGGUAGAAGAGCUUUCCUUUGCAGACCCGGGUGGUGUGUACCAGGAAGUUAGAUUGUGGGGAGAGCAGUGUGUGCUCUGUCUGUCAUAUAAAAUCAGCAACUGAGAAGGCUUGAUUGUGAGUCUGGAGUUUAAACCAAGUCAUAGUCGUUAAUGAACACACACCUGGGUCUAGGGGAGAGUCUAGUCAUGGGUGAACAUGUACCUGGAUCUGGGGGAGAGCCUAGUCAUGGGUGAACAUGUACCUGGAUCUGGGGGAGAGAUUCUUGGACUUUAUUUUGUGGAACAUUAAGAUUUGCAAAAAGGCAUAGAGGGCUCUCAGCAGGACAAGCUCUUGGCCUUGCUUGGUGUGAUCCCCCACUGGGCAUGGAAUUUGCAGGCAGACAUUGCAUGUGAAGACAUAUGGUCUUGAGUUUUCUUUUUUCCAGGAGUCAAGAAAAUACAGGCUUUGGAAGGAGGCAGAUCUGAGUUGAUUUAUCAUGUGACCAUGGUGAUUCUGUUUAGCCUCCUGAUCCUCAGAAGUCACAUUUCAAUAAAGUCAUGAAGUUAUUCCCUCCUUCCUUCCACUGGUAUGGCAUACAGAUUUAAUCUAAGUAGAAUGAGAAAGCCCAGUCUCUACCGAUCACUUUCCUUAAGGUGAAGUUUGGUAGGGCUCUGAGGCAAAACUGGAAUGGUCUCAAUUCUCCUCCAGACAAAAGGACUGUGAAUGGGAGGAAAUGGAGGAGUGUUAACAGGGUGAGACCCCUUGAGCUGAGUGUCCAGGUCAGCCUUCCACAUCAGCUUUCCAUGAAGUGUACUCUAGUUGGCCACCAGGAUGAUACAAUUUAUUAAGAACAUUCUUAGUGUCUUCCCCAGGAGCAAGUUGAAAUGAAACCUACAGCCUCAGUUUUUGAGUCUAAGGACAAAUCUGUCAAGGGAUGCAGUGGAGAGUUUCUGUGUAUAAUUCCCCAUUACAAAACGGUUAAACUUUAUGCCUGGUGAGGGAAGGAAGAACAAAAUCUCAGAGCGAAAGCAAGCUGUGAAGAAGCUGGGAGGGGCAGGUUCUGGAUGUUCGUUUUGUCAGCUAGGUUGGCUGACAUGAUUAGUCCUAAUGGGGUGGCAAUCCUCAUUGAACUGCAGAUUCUGUGAGUGACUGACACUCCCUCUGCUCCCUCUGUAGGGACCCAAAUAAAUGGUGCAUAUGAUAUUACUUAGGCUGCAUCCUUUAACCAAACUGAAGGCUGAGGCUUUUUGGUUGGGCAUUUUGCUUUUUUGUUUUGUUUUUUUUUUUUUUUUCUGACCUUUCCCAACACAUACAGCACACCUACCACACAUGCUUCUUACUGUCCCAGAAGUGGCCUGUGGAGAGGCACUCACCUGGGACAAGCAGGUUCUCCUUUAGUGACUCACCCCCCCCUUUUCCUCUCUGUACCCUGGGUGUGCUCCACCCCAUCCUCUCGGGCAGAUAAUGGUGCAUCAGAUUAGCCUGGCUCUGCUGCUGCUGCGUCAAGACCCCGAUCAAUUUAUUGACUCCUUCAGAGUGGCUGGUACAGUAAUUGUUACAAGAGAAGAAUGGAAAGUGAGUGCGCGUCCACGGG
rnacentral:lncRNA from 1 species